rnacentral:rRNA from 1 species
CAGUCGCCACGGUAAUACGGAGGGUGCAAGCGUUACUCGGAAUUACUGGGCGUAAAGCGUGCGUAGGUGGUGGUUUAAGUCCGUUGUGAAAGCCCUGGGCUCAACCUGGGAAUUGCAGUGGAUACUGGGUCACUAGAGUGUGGUAGAGGAUAGUGGAAUUUCCGGUGUAGCAGUGAAAUGCGUAGAGAUCGGAAGGAACAUCUGUGGCGAAGGCGACUAUCUGGGCCAACACUGACACUGAGGCACGAAAGCGUGGGGAGCAAACAGGAUUAGAUACCCCGGUAGUCCCUGUCUCUUAUAC